rnacentral:rRNA from 1 species
UACAGAGGUCUCAAGCGUUGUUCGGAUUCACUGGGCGUAAAGCGCACGUAGGCGGCUUCGCAAGUCGGAUGUGAAAUCCCUCGGCUCAACCGAGGACGUGCAUUCGAAACUGCGGAGCUUGAGUGCUGAAGAGGAUCGCGGAAUUCCCGGUGUAGAGGUGAAAUUCGUAGAUAUCGGGAGGAACACCAGUGGCGAAGGCGGCGAUCUGGGCAGACACUGACGCUGAGGUGCGAAAGCGUGGGGAGCAAACAGG